UCCAAGUUGCUUCGGCGGCGCGGCACCCCUUAACGGGGGCGCCGCAGCCCUGCCUCUCCGGAGGUUCGGGGCGCCCGCCGGAGGUACGAAACUCUGUAUUAUAGUGGCAUCUCUGAGUAUAAAACAAAUAAGUUAAAACUUUCAACAACGGAUCUCUUGGUUCUGGCAUCGAUGAAGAACGCAGCGAAAUGCGAUAAGUAAUGUGAAUUGCAGAAUUCAGUGAAUCAUCGAAUCUUUGAACGCACAUUGCGCCCGGUAGUACUCUACCGGGCAUGCCUGUUCGAGCGUCAUUUCAACCCUCAAGCCCUGCUUGGUGUUGGGGCCCUACGGCUGCCGUAGGCCCUGAAAGGAAGUGGCGGGCUCGCUACAACUCCGAGCGUAGUAAUUCAUUAUCUCGCUAGGGAGGUUGCGGCGUGCUCCUGCCGUUAAAGACCCAUCUUUAACCAAGGUUGACCUCGGAUCAGGUAGGAAUACCCGCUGAACUUAAGCAUAUCAAUAAGCGGAGGAAAAGAAACCAACAGGGAUUGCCCUAGUAACGGCGAGUGAAGCGGCAACAGCUCAAAUUUGAAAUCUGGCUUCGGCCCGAGUUGUAAUUUGUAGAGGAUGCUUUUGGUGAGGUGCCUUCUGAGUUCCCUGGAACGGGACGCCAGAGAGGGUGAGAGCCCCGUAUAGUCGGCCACCGAUCCUUUGUAAAGCUCCUUCGACGAGUCGAGUAGUUUGGGAAUGCUGCUCAAAAUGGGAGGUAUAUCUCUUCUAAAGCUAAAUAUAGGCCAGAGACCGAUAGCGCACAAGUAGAGUGAUCGAAAGAUGAAAAGCACUUUGAAAAGAGGGUUAAAUAGCACGUGAAAUUGUUGAAAGGGAAGCGCUUGUGACCAGACUUGUGCCGGGCUGAUCAUCCAGUGUUCUCACUGGUGCACUCGACCCGGCUCAGGCCAGCGUCGGUUUUCGUGGGGGGAUAAAAGCUUCGGGAACGUGGCACCUUCGGGUGUGUUAUAGCCCGUUGCUUAAUACCUCCGUGGAGA
rnacentral:rRNA from 1 species